AAUUUUUCUAUUACCCAACAAAAGUCUGGUGGUGACAUUUCCAUGGUGAUAGACCUCUUUGCUUUCAAUAACUUGUUCAUCCACCACCUUAGUCUCCAUGGUCCCACAGUAGUAGAGUCCCAGGUCAGAUUCAGUGAUGUUCUCAAUCAGUAGGUCAUAGGUGUUGUUUGAUGGGUUCCACAGUGGAGUGAACCGAGGAAAAUUCACUGUCGUUCUAACUGGCAUAAUUAGAAGAGGCUGAUGCUGGUGAGAGCAGUUCCUGAACCAUGUGAUAUAUAUUCCAGUGGAUGGUCUGCAGUCACAGUACAGAGUCACAUUGUGUCCUGGUCUGACUAUCAGCUCCACCUCAGAUCCAGAGAUCCCAUCCUGACUGGAGGAGACAGCACCUACAGGUCAAAGAGUCAAUGGAAACAGUGGUGGCUUACUCCCACACCUGGAGCCUCUGGCCUACAUUACUGAAAAGUACCAGAGGAAGCAGGACGAUCACAGACUCACACCCAGGCAGGCAAGCUCCUAUGAAAACACACACACACAGACUGACACAUUCCGACAGACCACAAAACUACAGCAAAUUGUGGCUUAAGUUGUG
ensembl:lncRNA